UACGUAGGGUGCAAGCGUUGUCCGGAUUUAUUGGGUUUAAAGGGUGCGUAGGCGGCCAUUUAAGUCUGGGGUGAAAGCCCGUUGCUCAACAGUGGAACUGCCCUGGAAACUGGCGGACUUGAGUACAGACGAGGGCGGCGGAAUGGAGGGUGUAGCGGUGAAAUGCAUAGAUACCCUCCAGAACCCCGAUUGCGAAGGCAGCUGCCUAGACUGUAACUGACGCUGAGGCACGAAAGCGUGGGGAGCGAACAGG
rnacentral:rRNA from 1 species